rnacentral:rRNA from 1 species
AUUGAACGCUGGCGGCAGGCCUAACACAUGCAAGUCGAACGAGUGGCGGACGGGUGAGUAAUGUCUGGGAAACUGCCUGAUGGAGGGGGAUAACUACUGGAAACGGUAGCUAAUACCGCAUACCAUCAGAUGUGCCCAGAUGGGAUUAGCUUGUGGGUGGGGUAACGGCUCACCAAGGCGACGAUCCCUAGCUGGUCUGGGAGGAUGACCAGCAACACUGGACAUGAUACACGGUCCAGACUCCUACGGGAGCAAGCAGUGGGGAAUAUUGCACAAUGGGCGCAAGCGUGAUACGGCCAUUCCGCGUGUAUGAAGCAGGUCUUCGGGUUGUAAAGUACUUUCAGCGGGGAGGCGGUACCCGCAGAAGAAGCACCGGCUAACUCCGUGCCAGCAGCCGCGGUAAUUC